rnacentral:rRNA from 1 species
UCGAGAAUUUUUCUCAAUGGGGGAAACCCUGAAGGAGCGACGCCGCGUGGGGGAUGAAUGGCUUCGGCCCGUAAACCCCUGUCAUUUGCGAACAAACCUUUUCACUUAACACGUGAAAAGCUGAUAGUAGCGAAAGAGGAAGGGACGGCUAACUCUGUGCCAGCAGCCGCGGUAAUACAGAGGUCCCAAGCGUUGUUCGGAUUCACUGGGCGUAAAGGGUGCGUAGGUGGUGAGGCAAGUUCGAUGUGAAAUCUCCGGGCUCAACCCGGAAAUGGCAUUGAAAACUGCCCCGCUAGAGGGUCGGAUGGGAGACUGGAAUUCUCGGUGUAGCAGUGAAAUGCGUAGAUAUCGAGAGGAACACCAGUGGCGAAGGCGAGUCUCUGGACAACACCUGACACUGAGGCACGAAAGCUAGGGGAGCAAACAGGAUUAGAUACCCCCGUAGUCC